rnacentral:misc_RNA from 1 species
ACCAAGGUUAAGGAAGGCGAGAAGACUAAACUUAUCCAAGAAAAUUCUAACCCAAAACUGAAUUCAGAAUCUUUAGUACAUGUUAGUAGCAGUCAUCGAUUCAACAAGAUUGAAGAAUUGAAGCUCGCUGGUAAAGAUGAUGGCAAGGAUGAAGCAGUUAUGUUAUCUUUAGGGCUCACUACAGGAGGCUUUCUUCCUCUGAAACAUCCUGGAAGCUAUCCAGGAUCCAUAGGAUUCCAAUGGCUCAGUCUACCUUGAAGGGAUGAAAUUGGUGUUUGAAUCAGAGAAAGGAGAAUGGGCA